UACGAAGGGGGGCUAGCGUUGUUCGGAUUUACUGGGCGUAAAGCGCACGUAGGCGGAUCGUUAAGUCGGGGGUGAAAUCCUGGAGCUCAACUCCAGAACUGCCUUCGAUACUGGCGAUCUUGAGUCCGGAAGAGGUGAGUGGAACUCCUAGUGUAGAGGUGGAAUUCGUAGAUAUUAGGAAGAACACCAGUGGCGAAGGCGGCUCACUGGGUCCGGGUACUGACGCCUGAGG
rnacentral:rRNA from 1 species